UACGUAGGGGGCCAGCGUUGUCCGGAAUCAUUGGGCGUAAAGAGCGCGUAGGCGGCCAGAUAAGUCUGGUGUGAAAGUCAAAGGCUCAACCUUUGAAUGCCGCUGGAAACUGUCUGGCUAGAGUCCGGGAGAGGCGAGUGGAAUUCCUGGUGUAGCGGUGAAAUGCGCAGAUAUCAGGAGGAACACCGAUGGCGAAGGCAGCUCGCUGGGACGGUACUGACGCUGAGACGCGAAAGCGUGGGGAGCGAACAGG
rnacentral:rRNA from 1 species